rnacentral:rRNA from 1 species
GUCCACGCCGUAAACGAUGAAUGCCAGCCGUUAGUGGGUUUACUCACUAGUGGCGCAGCUAACGCUUUAAGCAUUCCGCCUGGGGAGUACGGUCGCAAGAUUAAAACUCAAAGGAAUUGACGGGGGCCCGCACAAGCGGUGGAGCAUGUGGUUUAAUUCGACGCAACGCGCAGAACCUUACCAGCCCUUGACAUCCCGGUCGCGGACUCCAGAGAUGGAGUCCUUCAGUUCGGCUGGACCGGAGACAGGUGCUGCAUGGCUGUCGU